rnacentral:rRNA from 1 species
CUACGGAGGAUCCGAGCGUUAUCCGGAUUUAUUGGGUUUAAAGGGUGCGUAGGCGGCCUUUUAAGUCAGCGGUGAAAGUCUGUGGCUCAACCAUAGAAUUGCCGUUGAAACUGGGAGGCUUGAGUAUGUUUGAGGCAGGCGGAAUGCGUGGUGUGACGGUGAAAUGCUUAGAUAUCACGCAAAACCCCGAUUGCGAAGGGGGCCGGCCAAGCCAUGACUGACGCUGAUGCACGAAAGCGUGGGGAUCAAACAGGAUUAGAUACCCUGGUAGUCCACGCAGUAAACGAUGAUCACUAGCUGUUUGCGAUACAGUGUAAGCGGCACAGCGAAAGCGUUAAGUGAUCCACCUGGGGAGUACGCCGGCAACGGUGAAACUCAAAUGAAUUGACGGGG